UACGUAGGUGGCAAGCGUUGUCCGGAAUUACUGGGUGUAAAGGGAGCGCAGGCGGGUCUUCAAGUCAGCUGUGAAAACUAUGGGCUUAACCCAUAGACUGCAGUUGAAACUGUAGAUCUUGAGUGAAGUAGAGGUAGGCGGAAUUCCGAGUGUAGCGGUGAAAUGCGUAGAUAUUCGGAGGAACACCAGUGGCGAAGGCGGCCUACUGGGCUUUAACUGACGCUGAGGCUCGAAAGUGUGGGGAG
rnacentral:rRNA from 1 species